rnacentral:rRNA from 1 species
AUGGAUCACCCUGGAAAUGUCACUCGUCAUGAUCACACAAUCGACAUACCAAGGAAUGAUCUGAUGUCGCCGUCAACAUCCCGUCCGGACAAUCAUAAUCACUUGGAUGAGUUGAACCACAACAGAGGUCCUUCAAAUGAAGUUCCUCCUGUCCCAGAAAGUUCUGGCACAGCCGGUAUGCCUGACUUUCGAAGCGCAUCUUUCGUGAGAAGGGAUCAAGUCAAUCGUCAGCAGAAUCCUUUGAAUUCUGGCUUAUGGAUCUCAAUCGAGCUUAUUGUAAAUGUUAGUCAGAUUAUAGCAGCUGCUACUGUCCUGUCGGUAUCAAGGAAUGAGCAUCCACGCGCUCCACUAUUUGAGUGGGUUGUUGGCUAUAUAAUAGGUUGUGUUGCUACUAUUCCACAUCUUUAUUGGCGCUAUCUCCAUCGCAAUUGCCAGAACAUCGAGCAAGAACCAUCAGCCCAGGGUUCAUCUCAAAGGAACAUAUCCGAGUCUGAUUCUUUUGCAGCAAUUUCAUCUGCUCAUGCAUCAGAAGCUGUAAAUGAAGAUAACAACACUGGAGUCCCAAGAAACAAUUUCCCGAUUGCAAGUCCAAGGGUCUACGCAUUGGUUGCGUGCUUGAAGUUGGCCUUGGAUUGUUUCUUUGCCGUGUGGUUUGUUGUGGGGAAUGUGUGGAUAUUCGGUGGCCGCUCUUCCGUCCAUGACGCUCCUAACUUGUACAGGCUGUGUAUAGUGUUCCUUGCAUUCGGCUUCAUCGGCUAUGCACUGCCUUUCAUCCUGUGCACGAUGAUAUGCUGCUGCCUGCCCUGCAUAAUCUCCAUGGUAGGCUUCCACGAGGAUCUGGAUAUGAACAAAGGCGCUACCGCAGAAGUAAUCAACACGCUGGUGGCGUACAAGUACAAGUCGAUGAGGAUCCGCGACGGAGGAGAUGUGGGGGAAGACAAUGGUGGCGUUCUGGCAUCUGGAACUGACAAGGAGCGGACUAUCUCCGCGGAAGACGCCGUUUGCUGCAUCUGUUUGUCAAGGUUCUCGAACAACGAAGAUCUGCGAGAGCUUCCCUGCGGGCACGUCUUUCACAUGGAAUGCAUCGACAAGUGGCUCAAGAUCAACGCGCUGUGCCCUCUCUGCAAGUCCGAGCUGGGCGGCUCAACGGCGGCAUCUCCUGAGGCUGGCCCCGAGGGCCAACACCAACAGAAUGAGAACAGGGAAGGAGGCGACGUCGAGUCACAGCGGUAG